rnacentral:rRNA from 1 species
CGCCGUGUACUACGAUGAAUGUUAGUGGCCUUCGGAUGAUUUUGGAAGCUGUAAAGGCAUCUAUUGUGAGAGUUGGUCCAACUUGGUCAUUUAGAGAAGUAAAGUCGUAACCAAGGUUCCGUAGGUGAACCUGCGGAAGGAUCCAUUA